rnacentral:rRNA from 1 species
CAGCCGCCACGGGAAUACGUAGGUGGCAAGCGUUGUCCGGAAUUAUUGGGCGUAAAGGGCUCGCAGGCGGUUUCUUAAGUCUGAUGUGAAAGCCCCCGUCUCAACCGGGGAGGGUCAUUGGAAACUGGGAAACUUGAGUGCAGAAGAGGAGAGUGGAAUUCCACGUGUAGCGGUGAAAUGCGUAGAGAUGUGGAGGAACACCAGUGGCGAAGGCGACUCUCUGGUCUGUAACUGACGCUGAGGAGCGAAAGCGUGGGGAGCGAACAGGAUUAGAUACCCCCGUAGUCCCUGUCUCUUAUAC